GGGGCCGUAGCUCAGAUGGGAGAGCGCUGCAAUCGCACUGCAGAGGUCGGGAGUUCGAUCCUCCCCGGCUCCACCA
rnacentral:tRNA from 2 species